UAAUUUCUGUUUCCGUGUUUAACUCUGCAAUCUGCAUCAUACAAAUAAUACUACUUAAUUCACCCAUCAAUCAACCUAAAUUCAAAUUAAAUCUGUAAUUUAAUUUUUUUAAAAACAGCUAGCAUAAAAGGCUGAAUAUUAUCACAAAAACUGCAAUGAUUGAGCAGCAUCACUUCGAGGAAUAUAUACAAAAGAGACCAAUAACAAACAUUUUCUUAUAAUUCAUCUUAACUUUUAUUAUCAUUUAAAUAAACACCUAAAAUUUUAAAAAUAUUCAUACUUCAUAAAUGAUUUUUUCUGACACAUCUGAGUUAAAUCAUUUAAAUUAAAUAUCUUUUUUCCAAUAAAAUAUAAAAAUAAAUUAAGAGAAAUAUUUAGAGGUGUCUCAUCCCUUAUAAAAAAACACCUAACAAAACAAAGGAUGUCAGAGCAGCAUAAAACAGAAACUGAUACAAAGGGAUACAGCAUCAUUAUGCAGAAAAACUGCACCAGAAGAUAAGAGAAUGCAGAACAGCAGCAUCCAAAAAACCAGUUCACCUAGCCGCUAAAAAACCUUUGUAACGAUUCUGCAUCACAUAGGCUGAAAAUGUGUGGUGCCUUCAACAGCAAUGAGAGGCUCCCUACCCGAGCAUUCCUCUUUCAAGGAUAAACUUGCCCCCAUGCACCCUUGAUUCAUCAACGACCCCAAUCAAGAACAUAACAACCAGGGAUCAAUGCUUAUGAGUGCUUAUUUUUCUGCAUAAUUAUGCAGCAGAUUAGAGCAGAGUAUUCAGCAGAUACAAGCUUCACAAACCACCCCUCAAGAACAUGGAAACCCUCAACAGAAGUUCUAUGAGAGUUUCUGCAAAAGACCAGCAAAAACCUGCAUCAAACCAGAACCAAGACAUGCACCCCUUCUACUUAGC
rnacentral:lncRNA from 1 species